rnacentral:rRNA from 1 species
AGUGAACGCUGGCGGUAGGCCUAACACAUGCAAGUCGAACGGCAGCACAGUAAGAGCUUGCUCUUACGGGUGGCGAGUGGCGGACGGGUGAGGAAUACAUCGGAAUCUACUUUUUCGUGGGGGAUAACGUAGGGAAACUUACGCUAAUACCGCAUACGACCUACGGGUGAAAGCAGGGGAUCUUCGGACCUUGCGCGAUUGAAUGAGCCGAUUUCGGAUUAGCUAGUUGGCGGGGUAAAGACCCACCAAGGCGACGAUCCGUAGCUGGUCUGAGAGGAUGAUCAGCCACACUGGAACUGAGACACGGUCCAGACUCCUACGGGAGGCAGCAGUGGGGAAUAUUGGACAAUGGGCGCAAGCCUGAUCCAGCCAUACCGCGUGGGUGAAGAAGGCCUUCGGGUUGUAAAGCCCUUUUGUUGGGAAAGAAAAGCAGCAGGUUAAUACCCCGCUGUUCUGACGGUACCCAAAGAAUAAGCACCGGCUAACUUCGUG